rnacentral:rRNA from 1 species
GGGGAAUAUUGCACAAUGGGCGCAAGCCUGAUGCAGCCAUGCCGCGUGUGUGAAGAAGGCCUUCGGGUUGUAAAGCACUUUCAGCGAGGAGGAAGGCGUUAAGGUUAAUAACCUUAGCGAUUGACGUUACUCGCAGAAGAAGCACCGGCUAACUCCGUGCCAGCAGCCGCGGUAAUACGGAGGGUGCAAGCGUUAAUCGGAAUUACUGGGCGUAAAGCGCACGCAGGCGGUUUGUUAAGUCAGAUGUGAAAUCCCCGAGCUUAACUUGGGAACUGCAUUUGAAACUGGCAAGCUAGAGUCUUGUAGAGGGGGGUAGAAUUCCAGGUGUAGCGGUGAAAUGCGUAGAGAUCUGGAGGAAUACCGGUGGCGAAGGCGGCCCCCCUGGACAAAGACUGACGCUCAGGUGCGAAAGC